UACGAAGGGGGCUAGCGUUGUUCGGAUUUACUGGGCGUAAAGCGCACGUAGGCGGAUUGUUAAGUCGGGGGUGAAAUCCUGGAGCUCAACUCCAGAAUUGCCUUCGAUACUGGCUUUCUAGAGGCUGGAAGAGGUUAGUGGAAUUCCCAGUGUAGAGGUGAAAUUCGUAGAUAUUGGGAAGAACACUAGUGGCGAAGGCGGCUAACUGGUCCAGAUCUGACGCUGAGGUGCGAAAGCGUGGGGAGCAAACAGG
rnacentral:rRNA from 1 species